AGUAAAAUCGUCCUUUUUAAGUAGGCUAAAACACAUGUUAGAAUUCACGCUUGUAUAUAUAGACGGUGUCUGAAUUCGAAUCCAAGUUACGUCUACGCCACAGCGAAACAAAUAACAUCGAAAAUAUUUCUGCAGGUAAUGGCACUGGAUACAGACAGCACUUCAUAUGGCUGCCCUACCAUUCCGGAGAUUACAUAUGGGAUAAAUAUGGUACAUCAGAUUUUUGCAAUUCUUUGAAUGGCAAACUUGUUGACGUCGAAAAUAAAGAGAUGUAUGACGUCAUAUACAAAUACAUGGAAUCUACAUUUACUUCCGAAUUCCACUACGUUCAAUCCUGGUUUGCAAUGACUUAUGACGGGAAUGCUACCAUAACUCAAAGCAACGGUCGACCUGGUUAUAAUGGUGAUUGGGCUUACAAUUUUCCUAACACCGGCGACCCUACGUGGACCAGUGUCGGUAUCAGGGUAGGAAUGCAGCCUCAUACUCGUGGACACGGUGGUAUGUGGAACUGGGCUCCUACAGCUGCAG